rnacentral:lncRNA from 1 species
GGGUCAUCCAUGAAUAACACUUCAUGCUGAUGAAUGGCUCUUGCCGGCUUUCGACUCUGAUGAGGGGGUCUGCCGGCCGCUGAUUGCAAACACUAAUGAACUUACAGCGCCAUUUGAAAUUCACACGCACCAACAAAGUGAGGGGAAGUGUCCUCUUGUCGGGGACGAAAAGCACAAAUGACCUU